GCCAUGCGGCCAUGUAGGAUCUCCAAAAGAUUAGCCUUUUUGUAGUUGGUUGGCUAGAGCCAGAACCAGAGCUCACACCUUUUAUUAGAUCGAGUCUCAUUUGACCAAAUUGGAUCAUUCUGAGCCGGAACUUAUAUCUUUCAUUAGGUCGGUGUUCAGCCAACCAAGUCGAAUCAUUUGAGCUGGAGCUCAUAUGUAUCAU
rnacentral:lncRNA from 1 species